UCCGGGGUCAUCUAAUGGUAGGAUAAUGGACUCUGAAUCCAUUUAUCUUGGUUCGAAUCCAAGCCCCGGAG
rnacentral:tRNA from 1 species